GACGUUAGCGACAGAAGAAGCACCGGCUAACUCCGUGCCAGCAGCCGCGGUAAUACGGAGGGUGCGAGCGUUAAUCGGAAUUACUGGGCGUAAAGCGCAUGCAGGUGGUUUGUUAAGUCAGAUGUGAAAGACCCGGGGCUCAACCUCGGAAUAGCAUUUGAAACUGGCAGACUAGAGUACUGUAGAGGGGGGUAGGAAUUUCUAGGUGUAGCGGUGAAAUAGCGUAGAGAUCUGAAGGAAUACCGGUGGCGAAGGCGGCCCCCCUGGACAGAUACUGACACUCAGAUGCGAAAGCGUGGGGAGCAAACAGGAUUAGAUACCCCUGGUAG
rnacentral:rRNA from 1 species